UACGUAGGUGGCAAGGGUUGUCCGGAUUUAUUGGGUUUAAAGGGUGCGUAGGCGGCCCUGUAAGUCAGUUGUGAAAUACGGCAGCUUAACUGUCGAGGUGCAAUUGAUACUGCAGGGCUUGAGUACUGAUGAGGUAGGCGGAAUGGACGGUGUAGCGGUGAAAUGCUUAGAGAUCGUCCAGAACACCGAUAGCGAAGGCAGCUUACUAAGGAGUAACUGACGCUGAGGCACGAAAGUGUGGGGAUCAAACAGG
rnacentral:rRNA from 1 species